rnacentral:rRNA from 1 species
UAGGGAAUCUUCGGCAAUGGGGGGAACCCUGACCGAGCAACGCCGCGUGAGUGAAGAAGGUUUUCGGAUCGUAAAGCUCUGUUGUUAAGGAAGAACGAGUGUGAGAAUGGAAAGUUCAUGCUGUGACGGUACUUAACCAGAAAGGGACGGCUAACUACGUGCCAGCAGCCGCGGUAAUACGUAGGUCCCGAGCGUUGUCCGGAUUUAUUGGGCGUAAAGCGAGCGCAGGCGGUCAAUUAAGUCUGAUGUGAAAGCCCCCGGCUCAACCGGGGAGGGUCAUUGGAAACUGGUUGACUUGAGUGCAGAAGAGGAGAGUGGAAUUCCAUGUGUGGCGGUGAAAUGCGUAGAUAUAUGGAGGAACACCAGUGGCGAAGGCGACUCUCUGGUCUGUAACUGACGCUGAGGCUCGAAAGCGUGGGUAGCAAACAGA